AGCAGCCGCGGUAAUUCCAGCUCCAAUAGCGUAUAUUAAAGUUGUUGCAGUUAAAAAGCUCGUAGUUGAAUUUCGGGGUCAAUAUGUUGGUCGUGCCUCGGUACGUACUGGCAUUAUUGGUUUCUACCUUCUGAAGAACCUCGAUGUCAUUAAUUUGGUGUCUUGGGGAAUCAGGACUGUUACUUUGAAAAAAUUAGAGUGUUUAAAGCAGGCUCACGCUUGAAUACAUUAGCAUGGAAUAAUGAAAUAGGACGUUUGAUUCUAUUUUGUUGGUUUCUAGGAUUGACGUAAUGAUUAAUAGGGAUAGUUGGGGGCAUUAGUAUUCAAUUGUCAGAGGUGAAAUUCUUGGAUUUAUUGAAGACUAACUACUGCGAAAGCAUUUGCCAAGGAUGUUUUCAUUAAUCAAGAACGAAAGUUAGGGGAUCGAAGACGAUCAGAUACCGUCGUAGUCUUAACCAUAAACUAUGCCGACUAGGGAUCGGAUGAUGUUAAUUUUUUAAUGACUCAUUCGGCGCCUUACG
rnacentral:rRNA from 1 species